AGUAAUCAGUGCAAGCGGAGCUCUUUCCCUGAAUGAAUCCAAGUAACCCCAGUGGUUGCCUUCUGAAAUGAGCGGCAGCCACACAUCUGCACACAGGCUGUCCAGCGUGUAAACUCUGGUUCUAACGUACCAUGUCCAGCCGAGAGAGUCCUGCUGUGGAGUUUUCUACAACAACAGUCAGUUCAGUAGCUGUGCAGGCUGGGGACUCCAAAAUCGUUAUAGCUGUCAUAAAGUGUGGCAAAUGGGUACAACUUCAGUUGGCUGAAUCACAGCCCAAUCUUCUAGAAAUUGGAAGCAAUCAAGAUGAAACCAAAAAACUUCUUCACGAUCAUGAACUUCUUUUGGCCAAACUCAAGGCUUUGGAAGAUCGAGUAUGGGAACUCCUGCAAGAAGCAGACAGGACUGCUGAAGAGAACAAGGAUCAGAGUCAGGUCUAUGAUGCCAUGGCCGAGACGCUGGGUGAAGCAUGGGCAGCCCUGGUAUCCAUGCUUGAGAGGAGGAGGGAACUUCUCAGAUUGACCUCUGAAUUUUUUGAAAAUGCCUUGGAGUUUGCCAUUAAAAUAGACCAAGCAGAAGAUUUCCUCCAGAACACUCAGGAGUUUGAGAGUGCCGAGGCCUUGAAAUCACUCCUUCAACUUCAUGAACAUCAUACCAAAGAACUCUUAGAACGAUCUCUAGCCCUUUUAAACAAAAGUCAAGAACUCACUGACUUCAUAGAAAAAAUCAAGAGUGAUGGACCCAAUGUAAAUGCUGAGAUGAUUCAGGGAGCUCAAAACAGCUGCCUGAAGAUUGACAGUCUUCUUGAACUUCUCCAAGACAGGAGGCGGCAACUAGACAAGUACCUGAAGCAACAGCAGCAGGAACUGAGUCAGGUUCUGCAGAUGUGUCAGUGGGACCAACAGGAAAGUCAGGUCACUUGUUGGUUUCAGAAAACUAUAAGAGAUUUAGAGGAACAAGGUCUAGGUACAUCUCUUUCAGACAAUGAGGAGCUUAUUCGUAAGCACGAGGAACUGAUAAUAAAAGCAAAGGCAUUUGAUGCACUUGGAAGAGUUGAAGCUUACCUUAAGCUCCUUAAAUCAGAGGGUUUAAGUCUGCCUGUCUUGGCGGCGAGGCAUGAGGAAUUACACAGAGAAAUUAAAGACUGCACAGCUGAUGCUUUGCAGAAAGGACAAGCCUUGAUCAGCCAACUAGCUUCCUGCAGCUCUCGGCUGACCGGUGUCCGUGAGAUUAUGGGCUGCCUUGGAAGACGGGUAGAACAUUUGACUGAACAGUGUUCGGCGCACAGGGAAUUUGCUCUUAAGAGACAGCAAUUCACAGCCUCGGUGGAGGGCCGCCUAAGAGAGGUUGAAAUGUCCAUUCAGAAAAUCAGCACAAUACUUUCCAAUGCAAUGGAUGUUGGUUCCAGCCUUUCUGAAUCAGAGAAGAUUUUGAGUAAAUAUCUGGAACUAGAUAAACAAGCUAAGGAGACAUCACAUGAAUUAGAAGCAGCUGCAAAACUCUUGACAGAGAAACAUGAUUUUGAACUUGAUGAACUGGCAUCGCUUUCUUCUAAGGCUAAAUGGCUAGAGGAAGAAUUAAACAUAUUUGGCCAAAGCAUCAACUCCAGGUCACAAGUCCUGCAAACUUAUGUGGCAUUUCUAAAGUCAUCAGAGGAGGUAGAGAAGCAAUGUCAGGGCCUAAAGGAGUUUUACCAAACUGAUAUCCUACGAAAGGAGGAGGGCGGUGCUGAAGCCAAGCAUUGGUCUGACUCAGUGGAGAAGCAGUGGCAGCUAUUUUUAAAGAGGAGUUUUUUAACGCAUGACCUUGGGCUCGAGUUCCUUAAUUUAAUAAAUAUGGCAAAAGAAAAUGAAAUAUUAAAUGUGAAAAAUGAAGUACACAUCAUGGAGAACACUAUGGAAAGCCAGAAGGUGGAAAGGGAAGAACUCAGCCGCCUUCGGACGGCCUGGCAACUUAAAGCCGCUGCAAGCAAGCCCGUGAAACAGCAGUGGGCAGCAUUCAAAGAGCAGCUUAGAAAGACCACACACAACUUAAAACUUCUUCAGGAAGCGCUUAUGCCUGUGUCUGCACUUGACCUUGGAGGGAGUCUCCAGACCAUUUUAGGUCUACGGAAAAAAUGGAAUGAAAUGAAGCCUCAGUUCCAGCAACUGAAUGAUGAGGUUCAGUAUAUUAUAAAAGAGUCAGAAGAGUUAAAUGGCAAAGGAGCACCUGUGAAAGAAAAGUCUCAACAGCUGAAGGACCUUAUUCACUUCCAUCAAAACCUGAAACAGAGAAUCCGAGAUUACGAGGACAUCCUAUAUAAGAUUAUCCAGUUCCACCAAGUCAGAGAAGAGCUGGGAAGACUCUUCAAGUCAAGAGAACUGGAGUUUCCAGAACAGGCAAAGGAAAUGAAUGAUGCUCGCAAUGCCCAGGUCCUCCUCAGACGCUCUCGGGCAAAGCAGGCGCACGUAGGCCAUCUUCAUAAACUGGCCCUCUCCUUGGGGGUGGAUGUCAUCUCAUCAGUGCAGCAGCCUAACUGCUCUAACGUUUCUGCAAAGAACCUGCAGGAACAGCUGGACAUGCUUGAAGGGGACUGUCUGACCUGGCGUGCCCAGACCGAGGACCAUGAGCGGGCCCUGACCCGCAGCCUGGAGUUCUGCAUUACAAGGGAUGAGAUAGGCGAGCUCAAAGAAUCAUUCAAGGAAAUAAAAAAGAAAUUCAACAAUUUGAAGUUUAAUUACACUAAGAAAAAUGAAAAAGCUCGAAAUCUAAAAGCUCUCAAAUAUCAAAUUCAACAAGUGGAUAUAUAUGCUGAAAAACUACAGGCUUUGAAAAGGAAAAUGGAAAAAGUUGAGAAUAAAACUUCUUUCUUAAAUUAUCCAAAUAAUAACGUGAAUAUCCUUUUGGAAGCCAUGAGGGAUUUGCAGAAGCAUGUGGAUGAAUUUGACAAAGUUGUAACAGAUUACAGGAAGAAUUUGGACCUGGCCGAGCAUCUCCAGGAGUUGAUAGAAGAGUGUCACUUUUGGUAUGAAGAUGCAAGUGCCACAGUUGUAAGAGUUGGAAAGUAUUCCACAGAGUGCAAGACCAAGGAGGCAGUGGAGAUCCUCCACCAGCAGUUCAAAAAGUUUAUCACACCCUCAGUGCCUCAGCAAGAAGAAAGGAUUCAGGAGAUCAGUGACCUCGCUCAGCGCUUAUACGGUUUUGAAGAAGGGCAGAAAUAUGCUGAGAAAAUAAUGGCCAAACACAAAGAAGUUCUUGAAUCUGUCACUGAAUUAUGUAGCUCUCUCACAGAGCUUGAAGAAAAGCUGAAGCAGGGAGAUGUUUUAAAGUUGAAUCUGAAUUUGGAAGACUUCCAUGAUGACUGCAUUGACCUACUAAAAGGACCAGAGAGAAAUAAGCAGAUUAUAUUCAAUGAUGAACACAAUAAGGAGCAGGCCCAGCCAGCAGCCACCUUGGCCGUCAAUGGAGCACGAAAGGGUCAGCUUCCACAGGGCGUAAAGCAGCUGGUCCCCAGCAAAGAGAGUGCCCAAGGCCUGCUUCUGCCUGUGGACGUGCUUUCAGGAGAAGAAUAUGAGUGUGUUUCACCCGACGACAUCUCCCUGCCUCCAGUCCCAGGAAGCCCUGAUUCUCUCCUCACUCCGUCUGACAUGGAGCUGGAGGCGCGUGUCAGCCCGUUCCCCUGCCAUCACCUAAGCGGCCACCAGAUGCAGAUGGGGGCCAGCGGUCCAGGAGAGGCCCCGGAAUCUGGCUUUCCUCCACCUGCUGCUUUUGCUGAUGCUUGCAAUAAGAGAGAAACGUUUUCAAGUCAUUUUGAGAAGCCUUCCCCCCAGGUCCAACCUGAGCCCCCAUUAACAUCCCAAGGAUUUCUGGAAAAGAGUACUGCCUUCCACAAAAUCAGUGCUCAACUUCCAGAGAGCAUGUGCAGUGAAGUGCAUGACAGAGCUUCGCAACAGCACCCCCAGGCUCAGGGGCAUUUGCUAGAAACACCAGAGAAAAUGCAUGCUGAUAAUAACGUCACUAAAACCCGAAAUAGGCUGCAUGCUUCCCAGGAUGCAUUCUCAGGCCUCGGGUUUCACCCAGGGCCCAGCCAGGCCUGUCAGAGGCAAAUGGUUCCCCGAGAAGAGAUGAUAAGUACAGCAGCUAAGACCAGCAUGGUCAGCCUAGCUGGCCGGGCCCCUAAUUUCUCCAGGCUCCUGUCUAACGUAACUGUCAUGGAAGGUUCUCCAGUGACUUUGGAAGUCGAAGUAACAGGAUUUCCAGAGCCUACACUGACAUGGUACAAGAAGGGCCAGAAACUGUCUGCAGAUGGGCAUUUGCAGGUUUUACACGAGGAGACAAGACACUUGGUCUUCAUUCCGAAGGCAUGCGAGGCAGACGCAGGCCUCUAUGUGGCGCGGGCCCAAAACCCUAGCGGCAUUCUCUCUUCCAGUGUCAUCCUCCACGUGACAGGUAACUGCAGGCCGCUCAUCACGAGGAUAAACUGGAUCGUGCUGUGUGUCAUCUAUGUUACCGUGUCCCUGAUGUACUGGCUACUCACACAGUAA
rnacentral:lncRNA from 1 species